UACGUAGAUACGAAGGCCGUGCUCACACCAAACCGACUGUGAGCUGCCGAAUGUGAGCGAACGUUACGCAGUUUAUUGUACAUAUUUCGAUACAUAUGCACUUUUUCGUUCACACCUAACCGACAAUACGCUAUUACGCUAGGCGUAGGCGUGGACAUUCGAUACCAUAUAUUUUCACGUUCACACUGGGUCUCACAUUGAGCCUGCUCACAUUCGGCGGCCCAUAGUCGGUUUGGUCUGAACACGGCCUAAGACUAAUAAGACCGAAGAUACAGAGAAAAUGUGGAAAAUACGGGAGAAAAUAUUAGAAAGG